rnacentral:rRNA from 1 species
UGGGGAAUAUUGCACAAUGGGGGAAACCCUGAUGCAGCCAUGCCGCGCGUGUGAAGAAGGCCUUCGGGUUGUAAAGCACUUUCAGUAGGGCGGAAAGGGUGAGUCUUAAUACGGCUCAUCUGUGACGUUACCUACAGAAGAAGGACCGGCUAACUCCGUGCCAGCAGCCGCGGUAAUACGGAGGGUCCGAGCGUUAAUCGGAAUUACUGGGCGUAAAGCGUGCGCAGGCGGUUUGUUAAGCGAGAUGUGAAAGCCCUGGGCUCAACGUAGGAAUAGCAUUUCGAACUGGCGAACUAGUGUCUUGUAGGGGGGGGUAGAAUUCCAGGUGUAGCGGUGAAAUGCGUAGAGAUCUGGAGGAAUACCGGUGGCGAAGGCGGCCCCCUGGACAAAGACUGACGCUCAUGCAAGAAAGCGUGGGGAGCAAACAGG